UACGUAGGGUCCGAGCGUUGUCCGGAAUUAUUGGGCGUAAAGGGCUCGUAGGCGGUUUGUCGCGUCGGGAGUGAAAACACGGGGCUUAACCCCGUGCCUGCUUCCGAUACGGGCAGACUAGAGGUAUGCAGGGGAGAACGGAAUUCCUGGUGUAGCGGUGAAAUGCGCAGAUAUCAGGAGGACCACCGGUGGCGAAGGCGGUUCUCUGGGCAUUACCUGACGCUGAGGAGCGAAAGUGUGGGGAGCGAACAGG
rnacentral:rRNA from 1 species